ensembl:miRNA
UGGUGGCGCUCACUCCCUGUAACAGCAACUCCAUGUGGGACAGCUUCCUGCUUCCAGUGGGGGUGCUGUUACCUUGGGUGGGCAGCCGAGA